rnacentral:rRNA from 1 species
UGCAAGUCGAGGGAGAUUGUUGGAUUCGUCUGACAUGAAACCGGCGCACGGGUGCGUAACACGUAUGCAACCUACCUUUAACUGGGGUAUAGCUCAGAGAAAUCUGAAUUAAUCCCCCAUAAGACUACGACAUGGCAUCAUGAUGUAGUUAAAGCUCCGGCGGUUAAGGAUGGGCAUGCGGUACAUUAGCUAGUUGGUGAGGUAAUGGUUCACCAAGGCUACGAUGUAUAGGGGGUCUGAGAGGAUGAUCCCCCACACUGGUACUGAGACACGGACCAGACUCCUACGGGAGGCAGCAGUAGGGAAUAUUGGUCAAUGGACGCAAGUCUGAACCAGCCAUGCCGCGUGAAGGAUGAAGGCCCUAUGGGUCGUAAACUUCUUUUAUUAGGGAAGAAAAAAUGGGAUGCGUCCUAUAGUGACGGUACUUAAUGAAUAAGGAUCGGCUAACUUCGUGCCAGCAGCCGCGGUAAGACGAAGGAUCCAAGCGUUGUCCGGAUUUACUGGGUUUAAAGGGUGCGUAGGCGGAAAAUUAAGUCAGUGGUGGAAGCCCGCAGCUCAACUGUGGAACUGCCAUUGAAACUGGUUUUCUUGAAUAUAGCUGAGGCAGAUGGAAUAUAACAUGUAGCGGUGAAAUGCUUAGAUAUGUUAUAGAACACCGAUUGCGAAGGCAGUCUGCUAAACUAUUAUUGACGCUGAGGCA